GUCAUUCAUGAACUAGAAAGUGGUUCAUCAGAACCCGUGGAGCCAGGCAUGUCAUAGAGAGGACAUCUUCAGAGUUUCUGGGUCCGAUCCCAUCACUGCCUGUGAGCCAAAUGACCGAAAGAACUCACUUUAUUCUAGCAUCUCCCUUUCCUCGUCUCUAUAACCUCAAAUUUGGUGUCUGCUUCCAGGAUUUUCUCUGUCAAGAAUGUUUCAUGGCUUGUUAUUUCCUGACCCCAAACCAGUACUUCAUUUUAGAUUUUUACUGCUUCACUAAGGAAAAUCCUUAGAGCCCUGAAGUUUGUGCCAACUUGCUGUCAACUGCUGAAUGCUUUAGUGAGGGUAGUUUGGAAGAGCCUUCAAAAGAUAGUACAGAAGCCCAGUUGUCAGCCACAUGUAACAUGUUAGCCAUAGAACAUCAGGUUUCAGAGGGACCCCUUCUCCCUGUCACACCUCUGACUAGAAGAAAAUAAUCUGGAGAGUCACAGCUCUGGGAAUAGCUGUCAGUCCUGCCAUAGAAGGAGGGAUUUUGAGUAUUCGGAGGAAUCAGUUGUCUGAUAGAAAGAGCUAAGUCAAGGAGAAAGGAGGUGGCUGCUGGAGGGGAGAAGGAAAACCUGUCACUGUUGGCGACAUUCUUCAGAUGGGAUCUUAGGGAAAACAGUCAGAAACUCACUUGGGUGCUCAUGUCCCCAAAUAUUCCAUAUAGCGCAGUGCAGCCUAGUUUAUGUAUUGAAAGAGCAGGCUCUGAAGAAACACUGAGUUGGAUUCAAAUCCUAGUUCCACCAGUUUCUAAUGUUAUAAACUUGCACAUAUUACCUAAUCACUUUGAACCUCAGAUUUCCAUACCUCUAAAAUGGAAAUACAAAUUGAACCCGCCUCACGGUCUUGUGAGGAUGAAAUGAAGCAAUGUGGGAAGCACUGGGCACAGAGGCAUGGCUUAAGAAAUGGGAUUUAGGACUAUAUAUAGAACUUUGACAAGGUUCUGGAACAACUCAUUCAGGGUUAGGAAACAAGGAGGAUUGCUUGUAUUAAUAACAUAACCUCAGGGGAAGCAGCCAGUUUUAGGACUCAGCCACUAUCCAUGCCAUUAACAGGAGCUGUCCACUCCCUGCAGGCUGACUUGACGUCAUUGAGAGGAAGAAUGUAUUAUUUAAUUUUGGAAGAUCCCUCACCCUUUAGGUGCGGAUGUGACUGAUGCCAAUGAUUCCUCAACCAGCAAGGCUGGAAGGAGAGGCAAGGGAGAGGCAGGCUCUUUUUUUUUUUUCUCCUCAUGAUUAGGAUAGAUAAAUGGUAACAAAGUAAACCUGGCUUGAAUAAUUUUCAAGGCUAGUCAAAAGUAAAAGGUCUCUAGAAAAUUUAGACAGGAUGUAUCCAGUUUGCUUGCACUAUUAUGUAGCAUGUUAAUCUGCCAUUCCAUAUACUUUGCUUUCUCUUUCCUUCUACACUACAUAAGUAAUUGGAAAAUAAUUAGGAUAGAAACGGCAUCAUCAAUAUUAUCUAGUUUAAUGCCCCAUGUUCCUCUCUAACAUCUAUGAAAUACAUGAUAUGUCUUGAAGAAUUCCCUUCCUCUCCUACCUGUUGUGUCUGAUGCAGGGUGUCAUGCACAGUGAGAGUUCAGAGCGUAGGCUCAGAGCAUAAUUAUACUUUCACAGCAUAUAUGAUAGGAAAAGUUUCACUGUCAAAGGGAAUAUGAUAGAAUUCUCUCACUUCUGUGCAAAUUGCUAUGUUUGGAAGUCAAAAAGACCCAGGCGUGAGUAGGAAAAAAAACCUUUUCAUAUAUAUAUAUAUAUAUAUAUAUCCCCAGAAUACUAUAUUAAAUUGAUGAAAAUAACAACCAAUAAAAAGCCAACCAGGUCAGGCGCAGUGGCUCACACCUGUAAUUCUAGCACUUUGGAAGGCCGAGGCAGGCAGAUCACCUAAGGUCAGGAGUUUGAGACCAGCCUGGCCAACAUGGUAGAACCCCAUCUCUACAAAAGAUACAAUAGUUAGCUGGGCGUGGUGGUGUGUGCCUGUAGUCCCAGCUACUCGGGAGGCUGAGGCAAGAGAAUUUUUAGAACCUGGGAGAUGGAGGUUGCAGUGAGCCGAGAUCGUGCCACUACACUCCAGCCUGGAUCAGGAGGGAGACUGUCUCCGAAACAGAAAAAAACCAACCAGAGAAACUUCAGUCUGAGCUUUUCCUUCUCAAAUAGGUUUUAGAUGCAGAAAGUUGGAGUAGGAUUUUUGCUUGUGUUUUUCUUGUAGAAAAAGUAAAAAUAUAAGGAUUAGAAGAAAUUAAAAUGAUAUAAAAUACCAAAAAUGCAAUAUUUGCUAUGUCAUUUUCUUUGGAUGUAAUUGAGAUGAUAUACACUAAAAAUAUCAGUGAUUUUCUUUCUUUUAAACAGGAUUUCAUUUCAGAUGGAUCAAGAAGUGAACGUUGUGAUAUUGUUUCCAAUUUAAUAAGCAAAGGCUGCUCAGUUGAUUCAAUAGAAUACCCAUCUGUGCAUGUUAUAAUACCCACUGAAAAUGAAAUUAAUACCCAGGUGACACCAGGAGAAGUGUCUAUCCAGCUGCGUCCAGGAGCUGAAGCUAAUUUUAUGCUGAAAGUUCAUCCUCUGAAGAAAUAUCCUGUGGAUCUUUAUUAUCUUGUUGAUGUCUCAGCAUCAAUGCACAAUAAUAUAGAAAAAUUAAAUUCCGUUGGAAACGAUUUAUCUAGAAAAAUGGCAUUUUUCUCCCGUGACUUUCGUCUUGGAUUUGGCUCAUACGUUGAUAAAACAGUUUCACCAUACAUUAGCAUCCACCCCGAAAGGAUUCAUAAUCAAUGCAGGUAUCUAGGGUUUGAUGUGGAUAUGCUAAGUUAAUUUUUUGCUUAUAAAAUCUCACUUUGUUUUUAAUGUAAAGAACUUACCAAAUUUUAUAUUUUUGUCUUAUAAAAUAAGAAGAAAAAUAUUUGGUGAGGUGGGGAGGUUUCUUCAUAUCUGAAAACUUCUGAGAUGACCUGCAGAUUGGGCUUUUUAUUUUAUAUUUCUUUAAAUAUUUAGCCGGUUUAUCACCAAAAAAAACCAAAACCAAAAACAAACAAUAAACCCUACCUAAUGUUAGUAACUUUGAAUGAAGCUUCAAUAGUUAGGCUGCCAUGUACAUAAAUACCUCUUUGGAAAUUCUGUGUUUUUAUUUUUUGAUUGCUCCAAAAUUGCUGAAUUAUGAUUUGACACAUUUUAAAGAGUUUGUGCCAACACGUCAUCUAUCUCUCCAUUACUGUACUGUGACUGGGGAUAAUGAUGUUGUCUAUGAUGUGACUACAAAGAAAUCUCAGCUAUCACAAAGAAAGUGGGUCAAAAGAUGAGAAUUUGACUGCUUAGAAAGAGCCUUUUUUCUUAUCAUUUUAGAAUUCGGAUUCUAAAUAACGUAUGUCCCACUAUGAAAGAAUUAACCUUAAAAAUACAAGUGUCUCACACAAUAUUGCCAUUAGCCUGUGGAAUUUUCAGAAAAAUAAAUCUGUAUGGAUCUUUUUUCAUAAAAGACUUUAUCUUUCUUGCUUCUACAAAUUGCUUAGAUUACUUUACAAUACACAUUCCAAUUUACCAAAACAGCUCUGUCAUCUGUUGUUCCAGAAUAGGAUUGAUGCAUCCAUUAAUGGAGUUUCAUAAGCCUUCUUGAGGUGAAUGUACCGGAGGAAUCAUUCUUACUUUCUGGGUAUCAUGGAUUCUCAAAAUAAUUUUAAUGAAUAUUGAUUGUUCAUCAAUAAUUCCACCAAGCAUCAUUUUAAAAAUUAGUGCAGUAUUUAAAAAAAGUAAUAUAUUUCAACUAAAUUCCUCAAAAGCAUUUUCCAGAAGUGUUUCUCAGCUGUUCAACGAUAAGAUAUCACUGCACAUUCUUAUAUUCACCUCAAAAAUUCACAGUGCAGAUUAAAUAUUGAAAGCCCUUAACUGUCCUAUAUUAACAAACACGUUUAAUCAUCUUUAUUUUUUUGAAUACCAAAUGCUUAUAGUCUUAUUUCCUACUUGCAAAGAAAUUGUCAUCAGUAUUGAAUUUAUCUCUAAUUUUAUAAGCAUAGAUUUUUGUCGUAUAAAAUUUCCCUGGCACAAAAGAAGUACUCCCUUUUCACACAACUGCACAAUUUUACUGUUAAGUAUUCCAGAAUGCUUAAGAAGAGCAAAAUAAACUUUACACUUCUUCUUUUCCCACACAGUGACUACAAUUUAGACUGCAUGCCUCCCCAUGGAUACAUCCAUGUGCUGUCUUUGACAGAGAACAUCACUGAGUUUGAGAAAGCAGUUCAUAGACAGAAGAUCUCUGGAAACAUAGAUACACCGGAAGGAGGUUUUGACGCCAUGCUUCAGGCAGCUGUCUGUGAAGUAAGACGUUUCACAUUAUCGAGUGUUUGCUAAGAUGCAAAACUUUCAAAGAAUUUAGAAUUUUUAUUUUCUCUUCGAUUUGUGGAGUGAAAACGUAGUAUAGAAGAAAACAUAUCUUACUAUCUCUUACUCCUCACCAAGGUGAUUCAUUUCGGUAUGUGUUCGGGACAGAGGGGCUAAAUUCGGGGAAGGAUUUAAAUAGGAAAAGACAAAAGGGAAAGAAUAGGUUAUGCACGUGAAAAUUCUUUCCCAAAGGGCUGCUUUUCUCAUGCGCCACACUCCAAGGAGGAACUAGAAGUAGACUGUUGCCCUCCUCACUUCAGCUUGUUCUCCUACUUUUUUUUUUUUUUUGAGAUGGAGUCUCGCUCUGUCACCCAGGGUGGAGUGCAGUGGCGCAAUCUCGGCUCACUGCAAGCUCCGCCUCCCGGGUUCACGCCAUUCUCCUGCCUCAGCCUCUCGAGUAGCUGGGACUACAGGCGCCCGCCACCACACCCGGCUAUUUUUUUGUAUUUUUAGUAGAGACAGGGUUUCACCGUGUUAGCCAGGAUGGUCUCGAUCUCCUGACCUCGUGAUCCGCCCGCCUCGGCCUCCCAAAGUGCUGGGAUUACAGGCAUGAGCCACCGUGCCUGGCCUCUCUUACUUUUUAAUCUAUAUUAUUCUUCCUCCACUGGAACACUAGAAAUCUCUAGCCAGGAACUAGUGUGGUCACAUGGCUGUGGGAAAAUAGAGGAUUUACAAAUAAAAGUUAAAGCUAUUUAUGCAGCAGCGUUGUACCCAUGCACAUCGUUCUAGCCUGACUUACUGUUCGUCAACUCAAACAUAAUGUUUACUUGAGGUAAAAACCACAGUACAGAUCUGUGUUAUUGUACAAAGUCUAAUUAUAUGUUUAUUUUUAAGAGUCAUAUUGGAUGGCGAAAAGAGGCUAAAAGAUUGCUGCUGGUGAUGACAGAUCAGACAUCUCAUCUUGCUCUUGAUAGCAAAUUGGCAGGCAUAGUGGUGCCCAAUGACGGAAACUGCCAUCUGAAAAACAAUGUCUACGUCAAAUCGACAACCAUGGUAAUGUAGCAGUAACCCCUUAGUAGAUAUGACUCUUCUGGUUAAAGUGCAAUUUUAAAUUGGCAACUCAACUAUUUUUGUACCAGGAAAUUACCUAAAAAAGAAAGAUACAGAACAAGGAGAAGCCAUGAGAAUUUAUGGAACAGUGCAAUCUAUAAAUACUGAUCAAUAAAAUAUAUGAAUAAAACAGUU
rnacentral:sRNA from 1 species